AUUGAACGCUGGCGGCAGGCCUAACACAUGCAAGUCGAGCGGAUGAAGGGAGCUUGCUCCUGGAUUCAGCGGCGGACGGGUGAGUAAUGCCUAGGAAUCUGCCUGGUAGUGGGGGAUAACGUCCGGAAACGGGCGCUAAUACCGCAUACGUCCUGAGGGAGAAAGUGGGGGAUCUUCGGACCUCACGCUAUCAGAUGAGCCUAGGUCGGAUUAGCUAGUUGGUGGGGUAAAGGCCUACCAAGGCGACGAUCCGUAACUGGUCUGAGAGGAUGAUCAGUCACACUGGAACUGAGACACGGUCCAGACUCCUACGGGAGGCAGCGGUGGGGAAUAUUGGACGAUGGGCGAAAGCCUGAUCCAGCCGUGCCGCGUGUGUGAAGAAGGCCUUCGGAUUGUAAAGCACUUUAAGUUGGGAGGAAGGGCAGUAAGUUAAUACCUUGCUGUUUUGACGUUACCAACAGAAUAAGCACCGGCUAACUUCGUG
rnacentral:rRNA from 1 species